rnacentral:lncRNA from 1 species
AUUAAUUACGUAAAUAUCUAGAUUUUAAGUUUAGUAUAAAUAUCUAUGUUUAUCCAAUAACGUCAAUUCAACGUACCAAUCGAUACUCUAGAUAUCAUUUUCUCUUCCUUUCUCUCAUUAGCUCUAUUAAAGCAAUUAACCAGAAAAACAAUAUAUUUUCGUUGUGGAGCUUUGAGCUAAACCUUUCUAAACAUAGGAUCGUUUCAGCUACAUAAUGAUUUUGUUGAGUUGUUAAAUCCUACCAGCCAAAAAAAGGUUUGUUACAUCAAUGCGUUUCAUAUAAAGAAAUCCAAUACACAUGGCAAAGGACUUGAAUUUCUUUUAAAGAUGCGAGAUAUUUAUGUCUCAGCUUAAUUGUAAAUCAUUCCAUCAAACAUGGGUUAAUAUCACAAUUCAAAACUCUAACCUAUCAGUCAAAUGAGUUAACUUACAAAUAAACUAUUUGCGCUACCCAAAUCUCUAACUUGUAGGUUACUUCCUCUCUCUUUCACACCAUCAAACACUUUUUGUUCGACCAAUCAAAUUGUGUUAGAUUUGCGCCAAAAUUUUAUUAAACAAAACUAAAUGAAAACAUUCUAUAUAAGCUAACUAGAACUAAAUCCAAUUCAAAAUGAUGUCAACUUGGAUUUUGGCAAAUUGAAUAUAUUCUAUAUAUAGGUAUAUAUAAAUAUAGAAUAGGGGGAAAUUAAGAGUAUAGGUAUAUGUUCUAUAUUAUAAAGAGAGUUGGUGAGGGAAAGAAACUCAACCACCAAUGUAAAAAGAUGUAUGUGUCUUUUUUGUGAUUUUAGAAUAAGGGAUAAGGAGAAAAAUAUUAUGUCAAAAUAAUAAGAAUAAUAAGAAGAAGAAGAAAGGGAUAGAGAUAGGGAUAGCAAGGAGGAAAUAUCUAUUUCUCUUUCUGUCUUUUCUUUUUCUUCUUGUCUCAUCUUUAUCUUCACAAUACUCUCAUUUGUCAACAUUUGAUUUCCCUUAUCAAGCUACUCCAUUUUUUGUUCAUGCCAAAUAGGUGAUUUUUCAAAAAAGAAGAGAACAAAUUGACAUAUAUAUUUGGGUUAUGUAUUAAUUCCAAACAAACAACCUAGCCAACUUGUAAAAAUUUUAUUAGAGACCUUUUUAAAUAUAGCAUAAUAAACUAAAAAAAUAGCAAAAUUACAAAUUUUAUAAUAACAAAUAUUGAUAUGGAUGGAUAAAGGAUAAAAUUUACAAUAUUUUAAAAACUUUCCUUAAAUAAAAUAUAAUUUUGCAAUAACAGAUCACAAAACCAAAUUGGUUUGUCUUACCUCAUCUACUCUAGAUGCAUGUCCUCUUACCAUUAAUGAGAAUUAUUGUAGGUUUGUUGAGUCAAUAGGAAGUUAUUUUUCUAAAAGGUUUACUGGUACUUUAAUUUUAUAGGAUAUUUUAUCCUGCAUAGAAAAAGAUUAAAAACAAACAAACAAAUUUGUGAUGUGGUAUAUAUCAUCAAAGUUUACUUUCGAUUAAAUUUCAUUUAAAAAAAAAAAAAAAACUUUGAGAGAAACCUUAUCACUAUCAGGAUAUCAAUUGUUAAAGAAAUAACAUAAAAAUAAAAACAAUAAUUAAAUUGAAAGAAACUUUAAACUAUCAAAUUAAUUGCAUAGAUGUUAAUGUUUUACGUACACAUCCUCCAUGCAUUUUAAUUAGGAUGACUAUAAUUGGCUUUUCUUUCUAUCCCAUCAAUGUUUUAAAAAAGAAAAUGAAAGCCAAAAGGAAAUGGGUAACAAAUUCUAACGUUUAUUAAUUAAAAAAAUUCUAAAAAAAUUGUACUAUCAAAAAAAAAUUAAACCAAACAAAGUUAGAAGUUGACGUAGUCUCAAAUUAAAAAUAAAGACAUAGAUGUUUUCAUUGUAACCAUUUCAUUGUAACCGUUUUAAUAUUAAUAAAAAAAAUAUAUUUGAUAUGAGCUAAAAAAUAUAACCUAAAAGGCCAACCAGAGCCUAAAAUCUAAUUAGUUGACUGUACACAUACCAAUCUAAUCUAAUCUCCUAAAGUCAGAAAGUUCGGCUGAGAAUCUCUGUAACAGAAAAAUAGUUUAUCAUUUGAAGGGUUUAAAAACUUGAAGGAGAGAAUUAUGGGAGAGAUGUAUAUAAAAUGAUGUAUCCAAGAAGAAGAGAAAUAAAAAAGUAGCUAAAGAGAAAGGGAGGAACAUAGUUUAAAGAUGGAGAAAUUGAGCACACACCGAAUGGGGAGCGGCCUGGACGGUUCAUGAGAAAAUGGCAGUGGCUAGUUUGAAGGAGACAUGGCCGGUUGGAUGUCUAUUUCAAAUUAAUGUCAUGGGACGCACACUUAUCUAUAAUACUUCAUCCAAUCACUUUGCUUAUAGUAUAUUUAUGAUCCUUUAAAUAUAUUAUUUGGUAAGUUAAUUUGAUAUCAAAUAAAAUAAUUCACUUUUAACCAUCAACAAUUUUAGUUUUUACUUGGUCAACAUGGUAAAUUGAUGUUUUAUCAUAUAACUAAAAAAAUUCGGUGUCUUUUAAAUUUUGAUCGUUGCCAUCUUGACACAUCUGUCGUUCUUAUAUAAAUGUUUGAGAGUCUCG